CAUGUCCAUUAAUACCCUCACAAACAUUCACAAUGGGACGUGGAUGAUACAUUGAUAGUUGAUACCUCUCACAAACGGAGUCUACCCUAACAAACGUUCACAUGGCACCAAAGUAAUAACUUGAAACGCGCGCCAUUUCUCGAAUCUUUCUAGGAUCAUAUAAUUGUCUACCGUUCUUUUCUUUCAACGUCAAGAUUUGUUGUAGAUAUAUAGCCAUGGUUCAUGACUCCAUUUUGCCUUCUCGUAUGAGGUCAUCAUCAUCUUUCAGGAGACAAUUUGCAAAGAAUGAAUUGGGUAGUUGGUCAACACUCUUCAAGAGGCACCGUU